CACCUCCCCCUCUCCUCUCAAGUCGUCCCCUCACGGCUUUCUUUGAGAACCCAUCCAUCACACACUUUUCUUAGCUCUACAAUGGCGGCGACCACCACGUCCCUCUCCUCCUCGACCUUUGCCGGCAAGGCAGUGAAGAAUGUACCAUCGUCAACUCUCUUCGGCGAGGCUCGCGUCACCAUGCGCAAGACUGCAGCAAAGGCGAAGCAGGUUUCCUCCAACAGCCCAUGGUAUGGUGCUAACCGGGUGCUCUACCUCGGCCCACUCUCCGGUGAUCCUCCGAGCUACCUGACCGGUGAGUUCCCUGGUGACUAUGGGUGGGACACCGCUGGGCUUUCAGCUGACCCCGAGACCUUCGCCAAGAACCGGGAGCUAGAGGUGAUCCACUGUCGUUGGGCCAUGCUCGGAGCACUUGGUUGUGUCUUCCCGGAGUUGCUCGCCCGCAAUGGCGUGAAGUUCGGCGAGGCCGUUUGGUUCAAGGCCGGCUCCCAGAUCUUUAGUGAGGGUGGUCUCGAUUAUCUUGGCAACCCUAGCCUCGUCCAUGCACAAAGCAUCCUAGCUAUUUGGGCAUGCCAGGUCGUGCUCAUGGGUGCUGUUGAGGGGUACCGCAUUGCCGGCGGCCCACUUGGCGAGAUCGUCGACCCACUCUAUCCAGGCGGCAACUUCGACCCUCUUGGCCUAGCGGACGACCCUGAGGCAUUUGCCGAACUCAAGGUGAAAGAGAUCAAGAAUGGACGUCUGGCCAUGUUCUCAAUGUUUGGCUUCUUUGUGCAAGCUAUCGUCACAGGCAAGGGCCCUCUUGAGAACCUCGCUGACCACAUUGUUGACCCUGUCAACAACAAUGCUUGGUCAUUCGCCACCAACUUUGUCCCCGGCAAAUAAGGUGCUGGCUCCCAGAUCUUUAGUGAGGGUGGUCUCGACUACCUAGGCAACCCCAGCCUUGUGCACGCGCAAAGCAUCCUAGCUAUCUGGGCAUGCCAGGUUGUGCUCAUGGGUGCCGUCGAGGGGUACCGUGUUGCUGGCGGCCCACUCGGCGAGAUCGUCGACCCACUAUACCCAGGAGGGAGCUUCGACCCUCUUGGCCUAGCCGACGACCCCGAGGCAUUCGCUGAGCUCAAGGUAAAGGAGGUCAAGAACGGUCGCCUCGCCAUGUUCUCAAUGUUCGGCUUCUUUGUCCAAGCUAUCGUCACGGGCAAAGGCCCACUUGAGAACCUCGCUGACCACAUCGCUGACCCCAUCAACAACAAUGCCUGGGCGUUUGCCACCAACUUUGUCCCCGGCAAGUAAGAUGUGCCUUGAAGAUUGUGCAUGCCAUGAAACAUGUUGUUGUGCAAUCUGAGUUGUACUACCAUGAUGUAAAUUACGAGAGUUUUCUGCAAAAGCAAUGCAAGAUUUGUGGGGCUUGAAUGUUGUAACUUACAUCGGUUUGAUCGUUCUGAUCACAAUCCAUGAAAACAGAUACAUAUUUCGGCCCGAGCUUA